AUGUUGCUUUGGAAUAUUUGGAAAGCGAGGAAUAAUCUUCUUUUUAAUAAGAAAAAAUGGAGUAUUAUGCAGGUUAUAUAUGCUACAAACGCUAUGCUAAAUGCGGAGCUAAUGGAGGAGAAGGCGGCGGCUCACAUCAACCCUGCAAACAAUAAUAUUUCUCCUUUUCACGUUCAAAAUAUACAGUUCCAAAAUGCAGGUCUUUUGGCGUACAGUGAUGCUGCGUACAAUCCGGAAAUUGCAAAAGAAGAAGCUGGUCUUGGAGUUCUUCUUAGAAAUGUUAGUAACAACCAUACUGUAUUUGUUCAAGCUGCUGCAAAAAAUGUUUGCUCUGUUUUGCAGGCUGAAGCUAUUGGAUUAUCACUGUCGGCUGAGGUGGUUAAAGCUCUAGGAUGA
rnacentral:rRNA from 1 species